GCCUGGGUGGCUCAGUCAGUUAAGCGUCUGACUUCAGCUCAGGUCACGAUCUCACGGUCCAUGGGUUCGAGCCCCAUGCGGGGCU
rnacentral:tRNA from 1 species